ACUCCUACGGGAGGCAGCAGUGGGGAAUCUUGCGCAAUGGGCGAAAGCCUGACGCAGCAACGCCGCGUGCGGGAUGAAGGCUCUCGGGUCGUAAACCGCUUUCAGCAGGGACGAAAAUGACGGUACCUGCAGAAGAAGCUCCGGCUAACUACGUGCCAGCAGCCGCGGUAAUACGUAGGGAGCAAGCGUUGUCCGGAUUUAUUGGGCGUAAAGAGCUCGUAGGUGGUUCGGUAAGUCGGGUGUGAAAAAUCUGGGCUCAACCCAGUGGAGCACCCGAUACUGCUGUGACUUGAGUACGGUAGAGGAGUGUGGAAUUCCUAGUGUAGCGGUGAAAUGCGCAGAUAUUAGGAGGAACACCAACGGCGAAGGCAGCACUCUGGGCCGGUACUGACACUGAGGAGCGAAAGCAUGGGGAGCAAACAGGAUUAGAUACCCUGGUAGUC
rnacentral:rRNA from 1 species